UCAAGGAAUAGUUUAUGUAGAAUUCCAGCUUUGGG
rnacentral:tRNA from 1 species